AGGCAGCAGCUCCAGAAGUGAUUCUUGAGGAAGUGGGGGUCAGGGAGGUGGCCCCUGGGGCUGAGAGAAGCUCCUCUGUCCAUAGGGGAUGUCAGGAUUCCCAGCAGCCUGGCUGAGGACAGCCCUCUGCUGUCCCCAGAGAUCACUGGGUCUGGAAGUGGGGGAGUGGAAGGAAAUACAGAGCCCCAAGGCAGUGAGGAUGGGAAUGGCCCCUCGACACCAAAUGUAGAGGGUGUCACCUAUGCUGCCCACCCUUCUUUUCAGAACUGGGGAAUGAACCCAAGGCCUUCUCAUUGAGCUACAUCCCCAGCCCUUUUAUAUUUUUUAUUUUGAGAUGGAGUCUUGUUACAUGCCCCAGACUAGGCUUCAACUUGUGAUCCUCCUGCCUCAGCCUCCCAGAGUGCUAGGAUUACAGGCAUGCACCCCCAUACCCAACCACCUGUCCCUCUUGUCCCCCAGAACUAGGCAUCCUGCACUGGCUCCCCAAAAGUGCUGAGGGGGCACCUCCUAUCCACAGUCCAGGAAGAGCUGGGAGGUCUGACAGGCCAGGUCUCCAACUGAGGCCCAAAAGGGAGAGAGAGAACUGGAGACAGAGACAGAGACAGACAGACAGACACAAACAUGGAGGGCAGAGGGUUAGGAAGUGGGGAAGAGAGGCAGGGAGGAGGAUCCCAGGAGCCCUGCACCUCUCUUCUUGGAAAGGAAGGGCCACCAGGGGCUGAGAGACCGUGGGGCUACUUCUGGAGUCACAGAAAGGGUGAGGUGCUCGGAAGCACCCUAGCUUCGAGGUCAGAGUCCCCUUCCAAAGUCCAGGCAGUGACACACUGUGCUCGUGAUCUGGAGACAAGGUCUCUGGGAACCAUGUAGGGUUCCUGGAGGUGGCUAAGAGGGGCCAGGGCCACCCUACAGUGAUCCCGGAACAAGGACGGGAGAGGGGCAGAGCACAGGCCCCCCCAUCCCGGAAGUCCUGACACGGAAGUAACACAGGUCUGGGCUGCUCUCCAACUCCACCUCGGCGUCCCUGCACAGCCACCUCGGGCAACCUCGCAGCCCAUCUGCACUGUUCUGAGCCUCUGUGUCCCACACUCAGGGUCCCUGGAACCAUGGCAGGGGGUCGUCUGGGGGACCUGCGCUUCCGGCCCGGCUCUCACUGGGCCUUCGGAUCCUGCAGGGCAGCCAGGAGCAGACAGGAACUUUCCAGGGGCUCCUCAGAUGUCAAACACAGACAGCAUAGUGUGACCUCACCAGCUGGCCAAGCAGUCACCCAGGGUGCAUUGUGACAUGGAAACAGAAACCGUGUCAGGCACUGUAGAGGUCAGGAUGGGACAGGUAGCACCUGAUGAGCUGCAGGACAGGGACCGCGGCAGGGUGGGGCGUCGUGCUUUUGCUCUGCUUUGCUGCUUCUUCUUCUUUUCUUUUUUCUUUCUUUUUUUUUUUUUUUAAUAGUGCUGGGGCUUGAACUCAAGGCCUUCACAUUCAGCUACAUCCCCAGCUCUUUUUUAUUUUGAGUCAGGGUUUCGCUAAGUCACUGAGUUGCCCAGGCUGGGGUCUGACUUUUGGUCCUCCUGCCUCAGCCUCCCAGAGCGCUAGGAUUGCAGGCUUGCGCCACCUUUCCCAGCUUUCCUGAUAAUGCUGACAUCAAGGACACCAGUAGUGACAGGAAGUUCAAUGAACUCACCUAUUGCACAACUAUUAAACAAAGCUCACAGGCAGAUACGAAGCCUGGAGAGGCAAGGAUCAGUCCUCGGCUCAAGUGUGUGAACCCCACGUUGCCCCCACCUCCAGUUGGAGAAGGGUUUGACCAAGCAACAGGACGUUUGAUGAACUGCACAGGAAACAUUUGUAAACACAACUAUAAAAAUAAGGAACUCAUCAUCACAGAGGUUAUGUGACAGCACAGUGUGAAGGUCCAGGGUUCCAGCCCCAGGACCAGAAGAAAAAUUAAAAGUGUGAAACGCUUAAAACUAGCAAGAGAGAGAAAAGUACAAACCGGGAGGAUGAACCUCAGGGAUGAACCACAGUAACUUGGAACCAUGGCAAAGGAAGGCAAACGAAGAUCGUCCCUCAGUAUCUGUUCUCUUUUCCCCGCCCAUCACCACAGCCACAUUAGAUCUUAUCUACACAGUCCUCAGAACAAAGGCUGCAUCUCCAAACCUCCUUCAUAAUAUUUAUGACCUUAGAAUUACACUCUGGCCAGUGGGAUGUAAACUCGAGUGAUGCAUGUGGAGAGGGACUGUCCUUCAAAUUCAUCCUUACUGCUGUCUGGAAUUUGGAUGUGAUGGCUUUGCUCCAGCAGCCAUCUUACACCAUGCAGUACAAGAUGUAUGGCUAAAGAUGGUGGAGUAGCAAGAUUCUGUGUAAAGGAGCCUGGUCUUUGAUAUCAAGGGCACUGUGUGAACCCUGCAUGGCCACUCUUGGUCUCUCUUAUGUAAAAGAGAAAUAUAUUUCUGUUUAUGGUCUUUAAGCCAGUUUGUCUGUUUGUUUGUUUGUUUUGGUCUCAAUUAGCUGAACAAAAUCUUAACCAAUAAACAGAAGAGAUGAUAAUUCCUUUGGUUAGCAGGGGAGGGGCAAGGACUGCAAGAGAAGCAGGGGUUCCCUGAACUGAUAGAACCCAUAGCAGGUGCAAGAUUGAUUCCUGCAAGAACAGAAGUGGCGAAAGGAGAGUCCAAGAACCAAGGGCAUCCCGCAGGGAGAACCCUGCAGGGCAGGACACUGAGGACGUCAGGAGAUAACAACAACACAUUGUAUAGGGAAAGGUGUCCUGGUGAUGCAGGCUCAGCCCCUGAGUGACUAAAGGCUCGGGAGAAACGCAAGCUAAGAAAAGUCUGCUACUGGAAAUUCUGCCUUUAUCAAGGCUGCAGCCUUAUCCACCUGGUGUCCUGGUGACUCCCAUCCCACAGCACCUCCUGCCGUCACACACCGGCUGUGACUCAAGGCCACCUGGGCCAGUAUUUCUCCUCCUGUGGCCCCAGCCCACCCUCAUGGGACAGCCCUGAGAUCCCACCCAAAGCAAGCGGACCAGCCCCUCUGUGCAGCCCUGUGACGUGACAAAUCCAAUCCAUCACUCAGCAUGUGGGGAAACUGAGCCCGAAACAGACUGUGGCUCUCCAGAGGUCUCACUGACAGCUGGCAGCAGCCCGGGGCAAGUCCAUGGCUCCCUGUGGAUCUCCUGGCACCUGCACCUCUUAGGGCAGGGUGUGCUGCAAGUAUCAAAGCCCUCGGAGGUGAGGAUAGCAGCUUCACCAUCUCCCCCAUUCUCAGAAUCCUGGGACAAACUGCAGGCCUAGGACACACGUGUGGCCCUGGGCCACCUCUCAGAGGUGGGGCAGCCGACCGGGGCUCCCCAAAGAUGGACCCCAGGAUGCCCCUCUGCAGGGAACACCCUGCCCUUGGGGCCUCCACUGUGCAGGCCUGAGUGCUCCUGGGGCCACCUCCUUCCUGGCCCCAAGUCUCAAGCAUCUUCAGAACCCCACUGCCCUUUCCUCCCCUGCUUGCUGCUCCCCACAGCCUCUGGGAAAGGCAUUAAGAGUCUCGCAGAGACACCUCACGGAUACCAGCCCCACCGAUGCCAGCAGCUGCCCUCCUCCCAGCUCUGGCCUCCAGGCCCUGCAGACAUCUGGGCACCAUUCCCAUUGGCUAAAGCCACUAACCCCAGCCCAGCUGAAUAUACAGCCUGCUCCCUGCAGGAUUCCUGCUCACCCUGGUGCCCUGUCCUUGACUCUAUCAGGUCCGGCCUCGACCAGCUGACCUGUCCCUGAGCCCCUCCUGUCCUUUCACUUGGCGAGCUAUCAUUAGCUCGUGAUAACCCUAGGCAAUGGGCGACUCCACAGGAACUCACCAUCACAGAGGUUAUGUGACAGGCCUGCCGGCUACUGCCUGUCUUGGACAGUGACAGAGAGGCAAGGCCCUAUCAUUAGCAGGGCCUUAAGGCCCGAAAUCCCAUAGCUUCUGCCUGGGACAGGCCUCUGCAUGCCCUUUCACCGUUUGUUUGCACCUUGCUAAUAACCCAUAAUUACUACCGGGGGGGGGAGGGGCGGGGGGGACUUCCAGAUCCUUUCCACCGGCCCAUUGCCACCCACAGCCCUCAGGCCUUAGGCUUGCUCUUUAGUAGGUGACACGGUCUGCCUGGCUCGGAGCCCUUGAGGAGGGGUCCAGGACGCGGAAGGGUAGAUCCACGGGACCUCAGUGUCAAGGAUGGAGCUUGGGGUGCCUGAAAAGAAGAGCGGGGAGAGGAGACCUGGGAAGUGAUGGCAAAAGAUUCAUCUCCAACACCCCCUACCCCACCCAGAUUCAGAUCCGAGCGGCUGCCUCUGGCGACACCUGGCGGCCGGCCGCCGCCAGCGUGAGCAGAGCGAACCCGGUGCGGGUGUCCGCGCCUGCAUGUGCCAGGCCUGCGGGGAUUGGUUCCCGCGCGGCAGGAGGGUUAGGGAUCCUCCGGCUUGGAGAGCUAGAAACCG